rnacentral:rRNA from 1 species
GCCCCAUCACUUAAUCCGAUUGGAAGGUGAUGAAAAGCAACCGCACUUAAACAAUGGUAAGAGGAGCGAAGCGAGUCAAACCACCCAAAAAAGAAGCAGUGGGAUUAAGUGAUGGGGUGACUGCGUACCUUUUGUAUAAUGGGUCAGCGACUUAUAUUUUGUAGCGAGGUUAACCGAAUAGGGGAGCCGAAGGGAAACCGAGUCUUAACUGGG